GCUGGGAUAACUCAGUUAGUAGAGCAUGAGACUUUCAAUCUCAGGGUUGUGGGUUUGAGCCCCACCUCACGCA